UGGGGAAUAUUGGGCAAUGGGCGAAAGCCUGACCCAGCCACGCCGCGUGAGUGAUGAAGGCCUUCGGGUCGUAAAGCUCUGUGGGGAGGGACGAACAAGUGCGUACCUAACACGUACGUGCCCUGACGGUACCUCCUUAGCAAGCACCGGCUAACCAUGUGCCAGCAGCCGCGGUAAUACAUGGGGUGCAAACGUUGCUCGGAAUCAUUGGGCGUAAAGCGCACGUAGGCGGCCACUUAAGUCGGAUGUGAAAGCCCUUGGCUUAACCGAGGAAGUGCAUCCGAAACUGAGCGGCUUGAGUACGAAAGAGGGUCGCGGAAUUCCCGGUGUAGAGGUGAAAUUCGUAGAUAUCGGGAGGAACACCGGCGGCGAAGGCGGCGACCUGGUUCGAGACUGACGCUGAGGUGCGAAAGCGUGGGGAGCAAACAGG
rnacentral:rRNA from 1 species